rnacentral:lncRNA from 1 species
GUGUUUCUAGGCAGUGUUGUGUUGUGUUUCUAGGCAGUGUUGUGUUGUGUUUCUAGGCAGUGUUGUGUUUCUAGGUAGUGUUGUGUUUCUAGGCAGUGUUGUGUUGUGUUUCUAGGCAGUGUUGUGUUGUGUUUCUAGGUAGUGUUGUGUUGUGUUUCUAGGUAGUGUUGUGUUGUGUUUCUAGGCUGUGUUGUGUUGUGUUUCUAGGCUGUGUUGUGUUGUGUUUCUAGGCAGUGUUGUGUUGUGUUUCUAGGUAGUGUUGUGUUGUGUUUCUAGGCAGUGUUGUGUUGUGUUUCUAGGCAGUGUUGUGUUGUGUUUCUAGGCAGUGUUGUGUUGUGUUUCUAGGUAGUGUUGUGUUGUGUUUCUAGGUAGUGUUGUGUGGUGUUUCUAGGUAGUGUGGUGUUUCUAGGUUGUGUUGUGUUUCUUGGUAGAAAAUACACUCCGACUUUGGAAUUAAAUGUUGCUCAUUUACAUCACAUAUGUUGCCUGACUACAGCUAGCUACCCAUUAGUCCCAUUAACAU